UACGGAGGGUGCAAGCGGUAUCCGGAUUUACUGGGUUUAAAGGGUGCGUAGGUGGGUAAGUGAGUCAGUGGUGAAAUCUUCGAGCUUAACUCGGAAACUGCCAUUGAUACUAUUUAUCUUGAAUACUUUGGAGGUAAGCGGAAUAUGUCAUGUAGCGGUGAAAUGCUUAGAUAUGACAUAGAACACCAAUUGCGAAGGCAGCUUACUACACAGUUAUUGACACUGAGGCACGAAAGCGUGGGGAUCAAACAGG
rnacentral:rRNA from 1 species